rnacentral:rRNA from 1 species
UUCGAGGAAGGCAAGCGUUAUCCGGAAUCAUUGGGCGUAAAGCGUGCGCAGGCGGUUUUGUAAGCCAGAUGUGAAAUCCCCGGGCUUAACCUGGGAAUGGCAUUUGGGACUGCAAGGCUUGAGUGCGGCAGAGGAGACUGGAAUUCCUGGUGUAGCAGUGAAAUGCGUAGAUAUCAGGAGGAAUACCGAUGGCGAAGGCAGGUCUCUGGGCUGACACUGACGCUCAUGCACGAAAGCGUGGGGAGCAAACAGG